rnacentral:tRNA from 1 species
AUAAAGAUAAGCUAAAAAAGCUUUUAGGUUCAUACCCUAAAUAUAGAAUAUUUAUUCUUCUUUAUA